UUACUUCAGUACUAUAUAUACUAAAAUUGGAAUAGCACAGAGAAGAUUAGCAUGUCCACUGCACAAGAAUGACAUGCAAAUUCGUGAAGCAUUACGUAUUUUU